rnacentral:rRNA from 1 species
AAGACAACUUUACGGAGUUGACGAUUGACGGAGCGAAGCGACGUCAAAGCGUUCAUUAAAGUCGAGUUGGCUUAGGGAUACGUUCGUUGGGUAGGGGAGCGUUCUGUAAGCCUGUGAAGGUGGCCUGUGAGGGUUGCUGGAGGUAUCAGAAGUGCGAAUGCUGACAUAAGUAACGAUAAAGCGGGUGAAAAGCCCGCUCGCCGGAAGACCAAGGGUUCCUGUCCAACGUUAAUCGGGGCAGGGUGAGUCGACCCCUAAGGCGAGGCCGAAAGGCGUAGUCGAUGGGAAACGGGUUAAUAUUCCCGUACUUGGUGUUACUGCGAAGGGGGGACGGAGAAGGCUAUGUUGGCCGGGCGACGGUUGUCCCGGUUUAAGCGUGUAGGCUGGUUUUCCAGGCAAAUCCGGAAAAUCAAGGCUGAGGCGUGACGACGAGGCACUACGGUGCUGAAGCAACAAAUGCCCUGCUUCCAGGAAAAGCCUCUAAGCAUCAGGUAACAUCAAAUCGUACCCCAAACCGACACAGGUGGUCGGGUAGAGAAUACCAAGGCGCUUGAGAGAACUCGGGUGAAGGAACUAGGCAAAAUGGUGCCGUAACUUCGGGAGAAGGCACGCUGACACGUAGGUGAAGUGAUUUACUCAUGGAGCUGAAGUCAGUCGAAGAUACCAGCUGGCUGCAACUGUUUAUUAAAAACACAGCACUGUGCAAACACGUAAGUGGACGUAUACGGUGUGACGCCUGCCCGGUGCCGGAAGGUUAAUUGAUGGGGUCAGCGCAAGCGAAGCUCCUGAUAGAAGCCCCGGUAAACGGCGGCCGUAACUAUAACGGUCCUAAGGUAGCGAAAUUCCUUGUCGGGUAAGUUCCGACCUGCACGAAUGGCGUAAUGAUGGCCAGGCUGUCUCCACCCGAGACUCAGUGAAAUUGAACUCGCUGUGAAGAUGCAGUGUACCCGCGGCAAGACGGAAAGACCCCGUGAACCUUUACUAUAGCUUGACACUGAACAUUGAGCCUUGAUGUGUAGGAUAGGUGGGAGGCUUUGAAGCGUGGACGCCAGUCUGCGUGGAGCCGACCUUGAAAUACCACCCUUUAAUGUUUGAUGUUCUAACGUGGACCCGU